rnacentral:rRNA from 1 species
UACGUAGGGGGCAAGCGUUGUCCGGAUUCAUUGGGCGUAAAGAGCUCGUAGGCGGUUCGGCAAGUCGGGUGUGAAAACUCCAGGCUCAACCUGGAGACGCCACCCGAUACUGCUGUGACUUGAGUCCGGUAGGGGACCACGGAAUUCCUGGUGUAGCGGUGAAAUGCGCAGAUAUCGGGAGGAACACCAGUGGCGAAGGCGACUUCCUGGCCUGUUCUUGACGCUGAGGCGCGAAAGCUAGGGGAGCAAACGGG